rnacentral:rRNA from 1 species
GACGAACCGUGCGAACGUUGUUCGGAAUCACUGGGCUUAAAGGGCGCGUAGGCGGGUUCGCAAGUCUGUGGUGAAAGCCUCCAGCUUAACUGGAGAAGUGCCGUGGAUACUGCGAAUCUUGAGGAGGGUAGGGGCGGCUGGAACGGUCGGUGGAGCGGUGAAAUGCGUUGAUAUCGACCGGAACUCCGGUGGCGAAGGCGAGGCGCUGGACCCUUUCUGACGCUGAGGCGCGAAAGCCAGGGGAGCAAACGGG